rnacentral:rRNA from 1 species
GAUGAACGCUAGCGGCAGGCCUAACACAUGCAAGUCGAGGGGUAGUGGAAGCUUGCUUCCUUGAGACCGGCGCACGGGUGCGUAACGCGUAUGCAAUCUACCUUUUACAGAGGGAUAGCCCAGAGAAAUUUGGAUUAAUACCUCAUAGUAUUUUCGAGUGGCAUCAUUUGAUUAUUAAAGUUCCAACGGUAAAAGAUGAGCAUGCGUCCUUUUAGCUAGAUGGGAAGGUAACGGCUUACCAUGGCAACGAUAGGUAGGGGUCCUGGGAGGGAGAUCCCCCACACUGGUACUGAGACACGGACCAGACUCCUACGGGAGGCAGCAGUGCAGAAUAUUGGACAAUGGGCGCAAGCCUGAUCCAGCCAUGCCGCGUGCAGGAGGACGCAUCUAUGGUGUGUAAACUGCUUUUGUACGGGAAGAAACACUCCCUCGUGAGGGAGCUUGACGGUACCGUAAGAAUAAGGAUCGGCUAACUCCGUGCCAGCCGCCGCGGUAAGAC